ensembl:lncRNA
AUGUAUUUUGAACUGCUGGAGGCCUCUCGCAUUUGUCCCCUGAACUGCUCUUCCACGUGCUUGGCAGCCUGUCAGAGGGAAGUCUCUGUCUCCCCCCCAUCUCUGUGUCUCCCCCUCUUCUCUCUCUUCUCUCUCUCUCCCUCUCUGUCUCUCUGUCUCCCCCCCAUCUCUCUGUCUCUCUCUCUCUCUCUCUCUCUCUGUCUCUCUCUCUCCUCUCUCUUUCUCUCUCCCUCUCUCUCUCUGUCUCUCCCUCCCUCUCCCUCUCCAUCUCUCUCUCUCUCCUCUCUGUCUUUCUCUCUCUCUCUCUGUCUCUACCUCUCUCUCUCUGUAUCUCUCUCUGUCUCUCUCUCUGUCUCUGUCUUUCUCUCUCUUCAUCUCUCUCUGUCUCUCUGUCUCUGUCUCUCUCUGUCUUUCUCUCUCUCUGUCUCUCUUCCUCUCUCUUUCUCUCUCCCUCUCUCCCUCUCUCUCCCUCCCCCUCUCUCUCUGUCUCUCUCUCUGUCUCUCUCUCUCUCUUCUCUCUCUCUCCUCUCUCUUUCUCUCUCCCUCUCUCCCUCUCCCUGUCUCUCUCUCCUCUUUCCCUUUCUUUCUCUCUCUUUCUUUCUCUCUCUUCUGUCUCCAUCUCUCUCUCCCUCUCCCUCAGCCUGUCUCUCUCUCCUCUUUCCCUUUCUUUCUCUCUCUCUCUCUUUCUCUCUUCUGUCUCCAUCUCUCUCUCCCUCUCCCUCAGCCUGUCUCUCUCUCCUCUCCCAUCCCUCCCUCUCCUCAUCUCUCUCUCCCUCUCCCUCCCUUCUCUUCCUCCACCCGCCCCUGCCAUAAUUCCCUCUUGAGAACAGCUCCCAGGCUAAGCCUUCCCCACACACAAAGGAGCAGCAUGGAGUGAAUUUUCACAGCUGGGUUAUAAACUCCUAAAAAUAGUGAUGGGUGAUGGAUUAGGGCUGUCGCUGAGUCGCCAGCCGUGGGGGGAAACGGAGAAGAGAGCAGGGGAGAAUCAAAGGGCUGGGGGAGGGUCCUUCACUGGCUGGAGCCCCCCCUUCUGCUCAGGCCCAGCUCACUCCUGACUCAGGCGGAUGAAUGAGUGUGUCUUUGGGCUUCUGGGAAAAGAGGCCUGGGGUGAAACAAAGCCCGAUUAUCUAGCUAUUAAUUUACUCCGGGAGAGCCGCUUAGGGAGGCUGGAGUCUUACUCGGGUAGAGAACGCGGAGGAUUCACUCUUUUGGCCAGCAUCUAUUAAGCUCCUACUGUGUGCCAGGCACCCUACUAGGUUCUGGGCCUGGAUCUGGGAUUUCUUCAGUGAGAUACGCCAGCGGGGUGACCGGCAUCAGCCCUGGACCCGUCCUUUAUUUCAGUCACUUCUUUUAUUAUUUACUGUAGACAAACUAGCCUUUAAUCUUUCAGCUGCACAUUUCUGGCACUUAUUUUCUGCGCAAGCGCCUGGAAGGCCGUAGCAGACCAGAGCCUCUGGCCAGGGUCACGAAGCUCCUCUGGAGGCCCUGCGGCCCCCUCCGUCUGCUAUCCCAUCCCUGCCUCUCUGGUCCUGGGGAUGCAGAGACGAGGAGGAAUAGAGCCGGGGCACCGGGCCUGGACACGGGAGGACCUGGGUUCGAAUCCGGCCUCAGACACUUUGGGACCCUCGCUAGCAAGUCUCUUAAGCCUGCCGGGCCACUCUUGCCACUCUUCUGUCUACAACUGAUACGAGGAGAGAAGGAAAGCGUUUGUGGGAAAUGAAUGCGGUUCCUGCCUUGGAGAAGUUCUACUCUCCUCGGGGCGACGCACGCACUGAAGUAAGAGGGAGCAGGGUUCAAGGAAGGGCGGUGAAGA